rnacentral:rRNA from 1 species
CAGUCGCCACGGUAAUACGUAGGGUGCGAGCGUUAAUCGGAAUUACUGGGCGUAAAGCGUGCGCAGGCGGUUGUGUAAGACAGGUGUGAAAUCCCCGGGCUUAACCUGGGAACUGCGCUUGUGACUGCACAGCUAGAGUAUGGCAGAGGGGGGUGGAAUUCCACGUGUAGCAGUGAAAUGCGUAGAGAUGUGGAGGAACACCGAUGGCGAAGGCAGCCCCCUGGGCCAAUACUGACGCUCAUGCACGAAAGCGUGGGGAGCAAACAGGAUUAGAUACCCCGGUAGUACCUGUCUCUUAUAC